rnacentral:rRNA from 1 species
CUAGCUGUAAACGAUGGAUACUAGGCGUUGAGAGUAUCGACCCUCUCAGUGUCGUAGCUAACGCGUUAAGUAUCCCGCCUGGGGAGUACGCGCGCAAGCGUGAAACUCAAAGGAAUUGACGGGGGCCCGCACAAGCGGUGGAGUAUGUGGUUUAAUUCGAUGCAACGCGAAGAACCUUACCAGGGCUUGACAUGUCCGGAACCCUGCCCAAGGGCGGGGGUGCCUACGGGAACCGGAACACAGGUGGUGC